rnacentral:tRNA from 1 species
GAGGGUGUAGCUCAGCAGUAGAGUGCAUGCCUAGUAUGCACAAGGUCCUGGGUUCAAUCCCCAGUACCUCCA